GUCAGUUCGUACUGUGAAGCAUCCUGUUAAGUCAGGCAACGAGCGAGACCCACGCCCACACGUUGCCAGCGUACUCUCUGGAGUGACGGGUACACUGUGGGGACCGCCGCUGCUAAAGCGGAGGAAGGAAUGGGCAACGGUAGGUCAGUAUGCCCCGAAUAUCCCGGGCUACACGCGAGCUACAAUGGUUGGUACAAUGGGUAUCUACCCCGAAAGGGGACGGGAAUCUCCUAAAACCAAUCUUAGUUCGGAUUGAGGGCUGCAACUCGCCCUCAUGAAGCUGGAAUCCGUAGUAAUCGCGUUUCAACAGAACGCGGUGAAUACGCCCCUGCUCCUU
rnacentral:rRNA from 1 species